CCUACGGGAGGCUGCAGUGAGGAAUAUUGGUCAAUGGGCUUACGCCUGACCCAGCCAAGUCGCGUGAGGGAAGACUGCCCUCUGGGUUGUAAACCUCUUUUGUCAGGGAGCAACGCCGGCUACGUGUAGCCGGACUGAGAGUACCUGAAGACACAGCAUCGGCUAACUCCGUGCCAGCAGCCGCGGUAAUACGGAGGAUGCGAGCGUUAUCCGGAUUUAUUGGGUUUACAGGGUGCGUAGGCGGAAUGCCAAGUCAGCGGUAAAAUCGCGGGGCUCAACCUCGCUCCGCCGUUGAAACUGGCGUUCUUGAGUGGGCGAGAGGUAUGCGGAAUGCGUGGUGUAGCGGUGAAAUGCAGAGAUAUCACGCAGAACUCCGAUUGCGAAGGCAGCAUACCGGCGCCCAACUGACGCUGAAGCACGAAAGCGUGGGUAGCGAACAGGAUUAGAGACCCGGGUAGUC
rnacentral:rRNA from 1 species